rnacentral:lncRNA from 1 species
AACAUACCAUACGUAGGAAAGUCGCUAAUUGUCCAUAUAAGUGCUGCUUUCAUCUAAAAAUUGUCUUCUACUCACAUCAUAGGUAUUCACCUCCACUCUCCAUAACUGAUUCAACUUCUCAAUUAGAGGCCUUAGGAAUACAUUAAUAUUCUGGCACGGACUCUUCGGGCUUGGUAUCAUCAUGUUUAAAAAAAUGUAUUGCCAUUUGAGGCACAUCCACAGAGGUAAAUUAUAUACUAUAAUCAGAAUAGGCUAAUAUGAAUAAGGUGUUGAUGAAUGUCCAAAAGGAUUGAACCCAUC